AUACAUUCAUUUGACUGAAGAAAUGCUUGAAGAGCACCCAAAUAUGGGUGCUUACAUGGCUCCAUCGCUCAACAUACGCCAAGAAAUUAUCACUGCUGAGGUACCUAAGCUUGGUAAGGAGGCUGCAUUGAAGGCUCUUAAAGAGUGGGGGCAGCCUAAGUCCAAGAUCACUCACCUUGUAUUUUGUACAACUUCAGGAGUAGAAAUGCCCGGUGCAGACUAUAAACUAGCCAAUCUUCUAGGCCUCGAAACAUCAGUUAGAAGAGUAAUGUUUAUCAUCAAGGCUGCUAUGCAGGUGGGACUGUUCUCCGAACUGCGAAGGAUCUCGCAGAGAAUAAUGCAGGAGCACGAGUUCUUGUGGUAUGCUCUGAGAUCACAGUUGUUACUUUUCGUGGACCUUCUGAAACCCAUUUAGACUCUUUAGUAGGUCAAGCCCUUUUUGGUGAUGGGUCGGCAGCUGUAAUUGUUGGAUCAGAUCCAGAUACCUCCAUUGAACGACCACUCUUCCAACUUGUUUCAGCAGCCCAAACAUUCAUUCCUAAUACACAAGGUGCUAUUGCUGGCAACUUACGUGAGGUGGGUCUAACCUUUCAUUUGUGGCCUAAUGUGCCUACUCUGAUUUCCGAGAAUAUAGAGAAGUGCUUGACUCAAGCUUUUGCCCCACUUGGUAUUAGUGAUUGGAACUCCUUGUUUUGGAUCGCUCAUCCAGGUGGCCCGGCCAUUUUGGAUGCAGUCGAAGCAAAACUCAAUUUGGAGAAAAAGAAACUCGAAGCAACAAGACACAUCUUAAGUGAGUAUGGUAAUAUGUCAAGUGCAUGCGUGUUGUUUAUUUUGGAUGAGAUGAGAAAGAAAUCACUCAAGGAAGAAAGGACCACCACAGGUGAAGGAUUAGAUUGGGGCGUUUUAUUUGGUUUUGGGCCAGGUCUGACCAUUGAAACUGUUGUGCUGCAUAGCGUUGCUGGGGCUACAAAUUGAGUGAAAGGAAAAAAAUCAGAAGGGGACAAUUUCCAAUUAAAUCAAAUAGGAGUUAAUAAAGACAUAUAUGUCUUCUAUUUGUAACAUCUUUUAUUCUUUAUUAAAAUUGAUGUUUGUGGUUCAAAUUAGAGCUUGUUGGAGGGCUUCAUUAGUAACCUCAAGUUAAAAGGGAUGAGACAUCAAGUUCUUACAGUUUCGAUAUCUAGAUGAAAUUCCCUCAAAAGUUGUAUAAACAUCCACCGUGUUCUUUUAAAGAUUGUUGAGAGUAAUACAAAGAAAAGAAUAAAAUAACAAAUUGCCUUUUCCCUUUGUAACUAAGAAGCAAAGCCAUGUGGAUGCCAAAAGUAAUGCAACAAUUUGAAAAGAGUAAACAGGGCGGUUGAUUAGUUAACUUCCAUAAUUCCGCAACAUUUGAUUCAAAAGACUUUAGCUUUAUCAAUUACUUAACUACUACUCCGUAUGUGGAUAAAUUCUUGUACCAUCUGAAAAGGUAUAGAAGAUAGUUAUCCUCAUAAAUAGGUUGCCUAAUUAAUUAGGUGAUCUUCAAUAAUUCAACAAGAUAGGGAUUUUAAAAUAUUUUUACUUUAUUAAUUCCUUAACUACUCCUUAAACUUCCUUUUUUUCCCCUUUUUGUGAAAAGCUCUUUACCCUCAAUACAUAUGAUAUAUUCCGUUGCUAGGAACUUGGGUUUGAGUAUGUAUUAAUUACUAUUCUUAAUCAAAUUUAUUAUUGAAAAAUUAUUUUUAGUUGUGGUUUUUUUAAUAUACUUAUUACACAUUUAUCAUAUGUACUUGUUUAAUAUACUUUAAUUUUUUUAUAUGUACUUAUUACACAUUUACAAAUUACAAACUAAAUUGCCUUUAAUUUUUUUAUAGUUGAAGGCCUUCUUUUCCACCCCCAGUCUCCAAUAAAUUAGACUCUACAAAGCUUCUUCUAUGCUACUCUCUGAUUCUACUUCUAGUGCAAAGCCUUGGCACUCUACAUUAUCUUGCUAUUGCUAAGAGACAAUCCAAGAAUAUUGAAGAUAAUGAAGUUAGGUUGUUGUAGUAUAAUACCUGAGUGCUUCUCUACUUGCAACUAUGGGACCGUACAUGAAGAAGCAUUUAAUAAAGGGUUUUAAGAAGCAUAACAUAUUUUUAAGGCCAAAUUAUUUACAAAUAAAGUGCAACAACUACAUAAAAAAUGAAUUUUGAUGAAUCAUGAUUGAGGGCGAAUUUAAUUUUCGUAAGGAAUUAUUAUUAUUAUUUUUAAAUCAAUUUUAUCACAAUGAAAGGAUCGAUGCAAAAAUUUAGUGCUUGUUUCUAUAUACUUAGUGUUAACUACUUUUAAAAAUGGAAAAUGAUUAUAACUUUUGUAUGAAAUGUAAAUUUUUAUUAGAAAAAUAUAUACUUCUAAACAAUUUUAAAAAACUAUUAUAUUUUUAUUGUAAGUAACAAAAAGCUCUUACAUUUUAUAUAAGAGUUACUAGCUUUUUCCAUUUUAAAAAAAGAAACACGAAUUGUUCCAAACACUACAUAGUUAUUAAAAAUAUUUAAUCUAAAAAAAAAAUUAUUUUUAGUAUAAAUUGAUUCAUUUAAAAUUUUUACAUCAAUUGUUUUACGAUAACAAAAUAAUUUAAGUAUCACACACAAAGUUAUGAAAAAAAAUAUGAUAAUUUUAUUUUAAAUGAUUCAGAAUAUUUCAAUGUUUUUUAAAAUAUAUUAAUUUUUUAAAAUAAAUUUAUUUAUAGAAAACGUGCAGUAAAUAUAUAAAAGAUGGAUGUGAUGAAACAUUAAUUAAAAUGAACUUCUUUUUUCAUAAAAGAAAUUUUAAGAAAAAUUAAUUUCACCACAAAGAAAUAUUUUCAAAGAUUUAGUAAUCAAAACUAUCAUAUUUAAACUCAAUUAUUUUUAUAAUUUAUGUUUAUCCCUACAACAAUUUUUUUUUUAUAAAUAUUUUACAAUAUAAGUGUACUAAGUAUAUUAUUUACAAAAAAAAAAUAAAAAUUGACACAUAGAAUAUCAAUCUCUAUUGCAAUCUAAGAAUGCUUAGGUUCCAAAACCUCAAUUCAUUCUUGUUAGCUUAAGGGUUCUCCUAAUCAGGUUUUGAUGAUAACAAACCAUGGUUAAGUUGCUAAUUGGUUUGAAUUAUAAAGAAUUUCAUUUAUUAAUUCGAGAAUUCAUCAAAGGACCAAAUGGAUGCAAGAUCAAGACCUUUGGAAGACCUUUAAUCAUAGGAAACAUAUAUAAGAUGAAUGCAUGGGUGCACUUAGGUUUUACAUAUCAUUUCAUGCAUUUUUGAAAAACUCGGUUUAUUCUUUAAAGUUAUAGUUUCAUCAAAAUCCGAGUUUUAUCAAAUGAACCUUAGACAAAUUACUUCAAAAUUGGCAUAUUAAUUUACCUAAAGACCUUGCCUAAGUGUUAGAAGAGAAAAUAACAUAAAAAUAUAGGUUUUCAGGCAAAAAAUGGUGAACCGGUUGAGGCAUUGGCCAAUCGGCUAGGGGUACCAGUUGACCGAUUCGCUCUUCGCGAUUGACUGGUUCCCUCUUCCUGGUUGACUGGUUCUCUCUUCUCAAUCGAGGUUUGGUCGAGGAGCGCAAAAAGUACUCUUUCUUCCAGUAGCCUUUCUUUCCCGAUCGAGGUAUUUGCCAUCUUGGUCGACCUCUGGUCAAGGUCCGAUCGAGGUCCGGUCAAGGGUAAUGGUCACUUACCAAACAUUAAAUGCUCCAACGGCUAGUGAACCGGUCAACCCCAGCUCGACCGAUUGAGGCUACUUUUUGGUUUUCUUGUCUCCCGAGCUUAGAAACCUAUAAAUAGAGAGUUUCACUUCAUUUUUAAGCAAGAGAACACUUGCAUUUAUUUGUCUACCCACUUGUUCUUGCCUUAAAAGCUCUCAUUCCUUUCUUGGCGCAUUAAAUUCCCAUUUGCAUAUCCUUUAGUGCACUUUUGUGAUUCAUCCUACUCUUGAGUUGUAUUUGAGCUAUUGUUGAGUUAGGCUGAGAGAUUCAUUCUUGUUAAUUGAGUGUUAAAGCCUUCAAGUGAGUUGAAACUUGAAGAGAUUGUGUAAGAGCCCAUUAGAGUCGAAAUCCAAGUGUAAAGGUGAUUAGAAGCUUGGUUGAAGCUUCAAGUUAGUGGAAUCCUCACUCGAUUAGGAGUUUGAGGAGAGUGGACGUAGGCAAGAAAGUGUCGAACCACUAUAAAAUUUGAGUUUGCUUUCUCUAACUCUAUCUCUUUAUAUUUGCUUCUCUUGUGCUUAAAUUUGUUUGUUUAAAAAGAAUUUUUUAAAAACCCAAUUCAUCCCCCUCUUGGGUGUUUUUUCUCAUUUAAGAUUAACCUUUAUUUUCUCAAUUCUUUUCUACCAGCCAUACCUACAUUCAUGAAUUAGAAAGAAUUAUUUUACUAUACCAUAGGAAUUAUUAUAGUAAAUGGAAAAAAUACCACUAUUGAACCCCAAAGUAUCUCAUAAUUUCUUGUUUGUUAUAUCUACACCUUAAACUUGUAGCUUUGGCUCCCUAUGGUGUCACAUAUUCUUCCUUACUAUUAGGAUAUAGCCCUUAAAAAAUUUAGGGUUUAUUAUUCAUUCAAUAAAGUUCCAAUUGCACUUUAAUUAAUCAAUAGUCCAUGCAUUAUACCUUAUGAGCAUUUAGACCUACAUCUUUGCAUUGUGAGUUGUAUGGAAGAUCCAAGUCAUGGAUUCCUUACAAGUAGAUGGGUUGUUCACAACUAGUUCAUGAACUUAGACAAUAUAUUAGACUUCUUAAUUGGAGGGAUGGUUAGUCUUGGCCAUUGGGACGGGUUUCCCAUGAUGAGUGCACUAAAGUGUAUGGUUACAUAUUGGACAGGACCUAUAGUGAACCGUACUGUAAGUUUAUCAAGUUGCCAUGACUUCACUAAGCUACUUUAUUGUAUUGUCUUUCAACCUUGAAAGAAUAUUGAACUUGAGCAAAAGUUAGUAGUGACUUUAACUUACGGGUAAGAUCUUAAAGUGAUCAUAUAUUCCUUAUGGAUUGGAUCAUUGUUGAUGAAAACUACUAACAACAGGUAUUCUCAAUAUAAGCACCAUGAUAUUUAAUGGGAUUGAGACAAUGUGUUCCCUUGGGUGAUCUUAAAGAUGUGUGUUUAGGUCAACCAUGGUCAUCAUAAUUCCUUAAGUGGAACUUGACAUUAGCUCUUGGUGAGCUUAGAUAAUAUGUCAAUUGAUCACACUCUAAGAGGAUUUGGAACUCAAAGAUGGUAAAGGUAAUCUUCAAAAUUUGAUAACUUUUACCUUGUUAGAUUAUGGACACCGGUUCAUGGGGAGACGUAGUGCUUAGGUCAUAGACCGACCCAAGUACUAAGCAUCUCGUUAUAUUUACGUAGUGUAUUGGAGUGUAGUAGUUGACUCUCUACUGUCAAAUGUAAAGUAAAUUUCAGAAUUGGAUUUUGAGGGAGUCAAUACUAUCAUAGGAGUCCCAAUUAUCCUCACUUGAGCUCAUAUACCUUGACGACACAGUUUAUGAAGGUUAGAUUGACUCUUAGUUCACUUAUGUGCAUAAGGCAUGUUGAUAAUUACAUAAGGUUAAAUAGGGGUUAGUGAACAGUAUCUCUAGAUUUGGCUAAUUGAUUCAUUAUUUAGUCCUAUUGGGUUAAUUAAUCAAUUAUAACCUUUUUUAGGCUAGAUUAAGUGACCUAAGCCCAUGGUGAACUCAAGUUACUUAAGCUUAGUAGGAAUCACUAUAAAUACCCAUUUAGGGGUUAAGGUUUCAAGCUUCUUCCAUUCAUACCCUACAUUUUAAAGAGAGAUCUCAAGCCUCCACCCUCAAAACUUCCAUUAUUUAAGUGCCAAGCUUCAAGGUUGAGUCAUGGGACGGAAGAUCAUGGGUUUAUGAGAUCUCUUGCAACUUUGAAUUUGUUAUUCAUAGCAAGGAAAUGAUUUGGGAAUUCUAAAUCAAUAGUAAGCACUCUAAUCUCAUUAUCUAGAUCCUAAAAUUGAUUUUAAAUGCAUAUUUUCCACUAUGCAUAGUAAUUAGAUAAGCAUAGGGAGGAUUGCAUGUAUCUAACCUGAUUUUAGGAUAGAGAAUGGAUUAAUCAAACAUUGCCUACAACUGGUAUCAAAAGCUUAGGUUAGGGAAACAUAUGAUCCCUUUUAGGGUGUGCUAAUCCUUGUGUUAUAGGAUUUGUUAUUCAUUUGAUGGUCCUAGGGAUGAAGGUAUAUGCAUGAGAUUUUUUGAACUUUUAUUAUGAUAAAUAUAUAUAGUGAUUGAUUGUUAGAUUGGUUUUUAUUAAUCUCUAGAUGAGUUGUAAACCCCAUAAUAAGUCUUAAGAUUUUUUUAUUUGCUAUAAAAAUCUUUUUUUUUGUUUUAUAGAUUGGUUUGUGAAGUUCAAAUGAUUGGAGUAUAGGGGUUUGAUGUGAAAAUCCAGUUUACAUCUAUCUAUGUAACCCAUAAUGAGUAUGGAAGCAUUCAAAUUCUUGUACAUUCCCUUAUUGGAAAAAAAAAAGUCCUUUUAAGGAAAAUAGUUACUAGAGGUACAAAAAUUCAUUCUCAGAUUUGGUUUCAUCAAGUGCUUAAGCACUCCUUCUAACACUCAAAAGCAACAUUUAAUGCUUGAAGCAUUUCAAGCUCUCUAAAGUUCCUUCAAGUGCUCCUAAAUGUUCUAGUAUCUGUUUUAGGGUUUUUAGGGGUAAUUUUGGUCUGUUGUAAAACCACUAACGUUAUUUUUGUUAUAGGAUUUUUUGGUAUGUUUGGAUAAUGAAAAUUUAAUAUUUAGGCUACCAAAUAAGCAACAGAACCCCUAAGUCCAUGAGAUUCCCUAUUUAUUUUAUUUUAUUUUCUUUUAUGUUUCUAUUCUAUAUUACAUAUGAUAAGAAGUUGAAUAAAAAUUUUUUCAAAAAUGGUAAUUUUGGAUUUUCUUAUAGAAAAUAAAUUUUCAUGAGGAUUGUCACCAAGUAUUAUUUAUUUUAGAAUUGGAUGUUUCUAUUAUUGGAUUGGCAUCCCUUUUGGAACUUUCCUAUUGUUUCUGGUUAGGUGGUUCUCUAGGCUCUCCCCUCGUGAGAAAGAUAACAACACCAAAGAUAGUCCUCUAGGUCCUCAUGAGAAAGAGAACAACAAAAACAGGAUGUGAUUUGUCCAUAUAAAAUUGUUUUAACAAUUUUUCUAUAUAUGUUGACUGAUGGACUAAUGUGUCAUUUGAUCAAUGCUUGAUCUACAAGCCGAGACAAUAUCUUGUUUUCCCUAAAUCUUUCAUUUUAAAUUCCUUCUUUAAAUAAUUGGUUAUUUUUGUGAGCUCUUUAAGAGUCCCUGUAAGGUUCAAAUCAUCCACUUAUACUGUAAUUAUUGUGAGCUUGGAUUAUGAUUUCUUAAUAAAAACACAUGGGUAAAAUGGCUUAUUCACAUAUUACUCUUUUAAUAAAUACUCACUCAAACGAUUAUACUACAUGUGUUCAAAUUGAUUUAAUUUAUAGAGAUCUUUGUAGUUUGAUUGAGUACAUAUUUCAAGGUUUUGAAUUAGUCGUUUUCAAGUAAUUUGAAUCCUUCAAGGAUUUUCAUAUAUAUGUCAGUAUCUAUAGACCCAUAUAAAUAAGUUGUAAUAACAUCCAUGAGACGCAUAUCUAGUCCUUUAGAAACUAUUAAACUUAUCAAGUAUCGAAAUUUGAUUGUGUCCAUUGCAGGAGAAUAAUUUUCCUCAUAGUUUAUAACAGGUCUUUGCAAAAAACCUUGAACAAGUCAUGCUUUAUAUCUUGUGAUGUCAUUAUUCUCAUUUCGCUUUCUCAUAAAGGCCCAUUUAUAUCCAACAUGCUUUAUGUUUUCAAGUGUUUGAAAUACAGGUCCAAAACCUCUCAUUUUGCUAACUAGUUUAGCUCUAUAUGGAUUACUUCUUUCCAUCUUGGUUAAUCAUUCCUUUUUCGAUGUUCAUCCACAGUUUUUUGUUCUUGAUCUUCAUUAUUUAUCAUGAUGUCCAUAAUUAAUUGGAACACAAAUAUGUUGUCUAUGAUAAUGUCAUUACGGUUCCUUGUUUGUCCUAUGUGACUCAUUGAGAUCUCUUUAGUUCUAAAUACCAGUAUUUAAUCAAUUAGUGCCUCUUUAGGAGCUAACUAUUUAUCAAGUUGGGUUUUAGCAUUUGAUCCUUUCCUAUUUGUAAGCUCUUCAAGAGUACCAAGUUUUUCAUAUGUCAUUCUUUUUCUUUUUUAGAAAUUGAAUCCUUUGAGCCAAUUGGUCUACCAUGCUUUAGGCGUGUCUUACAUUCACUUGCGAUGGCAUUCUCCUAUUAUCCUUUAGGGACAUCAAUAUGUGUAAGGUAUUCACAACUUGUACGUGUGACUUUGUUACUUUCAUUAUAUUUGUCAAAGCAUCAAGUAACUAAUUUGCAAGUCCUUAUAAAUGAAUAAUGAUUACUACUCAAAAAGUGCUAUUUGAUAGCCUAUAAUUAAUCCUUUUAAACACUUUUGAGUAGUAGUUUAGGUCUUUUAACUCAAUUGGCAUGUUAAGGAUCCUUUAAAGCAAUUUUAAUCACUUUGUGCAAGUUUUGGUGUUUUUGUUAGUAUUUUGAUCACCAAAGCAAGUCAAGACUGAGGAGAGCUAUGAGGAAUCUUGGGCAAAGCUUAGAAGUCAUUUGCCAAGAGUGAAUCCGGAUUGCAAGGAGAAAAAGCAAAGAGAAUCUGCCAUAAAGCAUAUUCUUGAUGACAGCAGUAGCAGCCACUUUUGGAGCACUUUCUGAAGUCCAAAUGAUGCAUGCUAUAUACCAUUUCAAAGCUCAGGAAGUCAACAAUCCAAUGCUUCAAACGGUGUGCAAUUCAUAGUUGAAACGAAGAAGUUGCAGCCGUUACAAGACAAUCACUCCGAGCUGAAGGAAGCAUUUUGCAAAGUGCUGCGAAAUCACCCUUUUGUUGCGAAGUGAUUUCGCAGCAUUUUUGUACAGUAAGGUGUUUCUCCUUCUGACGAUGCACGAUUUAUGCCGCGAGAAGGAAGCUAGGAACCUCAAGGUAGAAGCCAACUUCGCAGCCUUGUGAAGAUAGCUUGGUGUUGCAAAAAUAUUUCGCAGCCCUCUUGAGUGUCUGCGAAAUCUCGCAGACACCAUUUUUCUCCUGCGAAAUGGUUCCUGAAGCCUCCCGAUAUUUGCUACCGACAUUGGGAGAUAUUUUCCAUUAGAUUUUUGUUGUCUAAAUCCCAAAAUACUCCUUGUAAACCACCAAUUACAUGAUUCCUUAGUUUUAAGUUAGUAAAAAGACUAAAUAUCUAUGUAAUAAUUAGUUUUAUAUUAUGUUCAUAUAUAUACCUCUCGGGAGCCUGUUCUCGGGGAGGAGUUCCUUCUGUAAAAGUUUGGGUAAGCAAGUAAAGUCUCUUUUCUUUCUACUGCCUUACCUUCUCACUUUGUAUUUUUUACUUAUUACUAAGUUAUGAACUCUCUGAGGAGUUUUCCCCAGAGAAUGAGUAACUAAACCUCUAAUUCCUUGGAGCUAAGGUUGCCGGGGGAGGUUCCAAGUGCAAGAAUGCAAAGCUUUGUGGUUUUAGCUAGUAAUGAAGAGGAAGUGAAAUCCUUCAAUGAUUUCUAUGUUUUUAGUUAACUUAAAACACCUUGGAGUCACCUAGGCCAACACUUGGUAAGGCAAGUGAUUUCCAACCAUGGAAAUGCACUAGUUUACCCCUUGCGAGCCUCUGGGAGGUGACUUGAAGGUAGGAUUUUCUAGAAUUGCCAACACUUGGUAAGCUUUUGGACUCCUAGGAGACAUCCAUUAGUUAUCUCUUGCGAGCUUUUGACGGGUAAUCCAAGGUUAAAGAUCACCUUGAAUGGUUAAGGCUUAGUGAGAGGCUUAAACCAUUGCAAGUUGCAUCAGUGAGAGAAUUAAAGUGAAAUCUAAUUGAAGGAGUCUCUGUACAUCACCGGUUAGAGAAUUGACUAUAUGUUGAAUCUCUAAUGCGAGGAAAUGAACCAUCUGACCAAAGCCGUGUCUUUUGCAUGAGGAACCACCCCAGUGAACCUAAAUCUCCAAGGAAUGCUUUUCUUCCUAAAUUAUUCCAAACUUCUGUUAUGUUAGUUAGUUUAAGUCUAAACCUUUACCAAUCAAAGUUUGUGUUUUACUUCUUAAGCUAACCUUGAAAUGAAACAAGGCCAAUUCACUUGGAAUUGGUAUCAUUGAUUGCUUGUUAAUCAUUCCCAGUGAACGAUCCUAGAGCCACUAUACUAUAGUAGCUUUGUCUUUGCUACCCUAGUAUAUGGUGUUAUAGGUUAUAAAUUUUGUUGAUUACUCCCUCAAUCAAGGAGCACCAGCUGGACACAAAUCAGCUGAGACACCAAUUGGGCACGAAUCAAAUAAUCCUAUGAAAUUCUAAUUAACACUGCCUUGCACGAGGAUCAAGAUGAGACAAAGAGGAUACAUAACAUGUAAUGUCUCGCCAUUGUUCUGGAUUUGAUUUGUCACCCGUAAUGGUGGGAAAACAUUUUCAUCAAAAUGAAAAUCUACAAAGUGGGCAAUAAAAACAUCGCUUAUUAAAUGUUCAAGAUAGCUAAUAAUGGAGGGAGAAUUAAAACCAACAUAUAUACCAAGUAGAUGUCGAGGACAUAACUUAAAACAUUGAGGUAGAGCUAUGGGAACAUAGACAAUACAACCAAAAAUAAGUAAAUAUGAAACAUUUAGUUGGGAGCCUAAAAUAAGUUGUAAAUGUGAGAAUUCAUGAAGUUGUAGAACAAAAUGUGAAUUAAAGUAACUACAUGGAGAAUAGCAUGUCCCCAAGUAGAUAAAGGCAAUUUUGUUCUCAGGAAUAACGGUUUUGCAAUCAAUUGCAAAUGCUUAAUAAGAGAUUUAGCUAAUCCAUUUUGAGUGUUAGUAUGAGCAAUAGGAUGUUCAACAUCAAUACUAACCGACAUACAAUAAUCAAGAAAUAUUUGGGAAGAGAAUUCACUAGAAUUAUCAAGACAAAUUGUCUUAACAGGGUUGUGAAACCAAGGUUUGGUCAAUCUUAGUUUUGAUGAUAACAAAAUAAGGUUUGGAAUUAAUGAUUAUAUUUCAAUUGUGAUUAGUCGAGAUGACUUUCAAAGUGGCAAUCAUAAAGACAAAAUCAAGCCAAAGGGAAAUCAAUAAGGUGAAGAAGACCUCAAAGAGAAAUGUCUUUCAAGACCUAAGUUUCAUAGGAUCUCUUUGUAAGGUUGUUAGUGCAUUUGUUUUUUUUUAUGCAUUACAUUAUUUACUUAUGCACCAAAACCAUCCAAGAGUUAUUUUGUUUCAAAUAUUUUAAAAUCGGAUGAUUUCAUGUUUUCUAAACUUUUUAAAAAGGUUUUAAGUUAAAAAAAAAUGGUUGUUAAGCCAAAAAUGGCUCAACCGGCUAAACUGGCUAAAGAACUGAUUGACCUAUUUAGUUCAACCGAUCGAAUUAUGCAAAAACCUUCUCUAUAUUCUAGAAUGCUUUUUCGACCGGUCGAGGCUAAACCUCAUCUAGUUGAGUACGAAUCGAGGGGUGGUCAAGAGACGAUUGAGGUCCAUUGGUCACCUGCCAUGCAUUAAACGUCAACGGUUAAUGAACUCAUCGAAUUAGAGCUCAACUGGACGAACCCCUAACAGCUAGUUUAACAUUUUUCUUCUAUAACUAGUCUUCAUUGUUUUAAGAGCUUAACCUUCCAAAACCUUUCUUGAAUAUACUUAAGCCUUGGGAGAGUGUUUUUGAGUGCAUCAUUAUUAUGAAACUUGCAUAUCAUUAACGCACUUUUCAAUCCUAGUUUAUCUCUUAUCAUUUGAGCCUAAAGUUUUGUACUAGGGUUUUGUGAGAUUAUUUUUCAUCCUUAUUUGUAAAUCUUUGAGAAGAAAAGGCUAAGUGUGAGGUAUCACUUAAGGAUUCUCAAGUGUGAGGUAUCACUUUAGGGGUUGUUCAAGAGUGAGGUAUCUCUUGAGGAUUGUAAAGGGUGCUUGGAGCCAAAAGUCCAAGAGGAUUGAUUGGAACCAUAAUCCAAUUGGAUUGCUUGAAGGCUUGGAUUGGAAGCCUUGAAUUAGUGAAACCUCAAGCUUGGGAUUGAAGCUAGAGAAGAGUGAACGUAGGCCAAGUUCCGCCAAACCAUUAUAAAAAUCUUAUGUUUGCAUUCGGGAUCCCAAGUCAUUCAUAUCAUCCAUAACCCUGAGUUGUUCAUAUGAUCCAGAGCCCUGAGCUCACGACUUAGAGUAGCACAUGUCAUCCAUAAUCCUAAUCUUUUUAUAGAAUCUAGAGCCAUGGGUUCACAACCAAAAUCAUUCACAUCAAUCAUAACCUUUUAUCUCAUGACCCAAAGACAUUUAUAUCAUACAUGACAUUGAGCCGUUCAUAACAUCAAGAGCCCUAAACUCCUGGCUCGGAUUAGUUAUUGUCAUCCAUAGCCCUGAGUUUUUCAUAGCAUCUAGAGCCUGGAGCUCACGACCUGGAGUAGUUCAUGUCUUCCACAGCCCUGAGUUAUUCAUAACAUCUAGAGCCCUAAGCUCAUGACCUGUAGUUGUUCAUGUUAACCACAACCCUAAGUUAUUCAUUGCAUCUAGAGUCUUAAGCUCAUAACCCCAAGUCGUUUAUAUCAUCCACGAACUUGAGUUGUUCAUAGAAUUUAGAGACCUAAGCUCACGAGGUGAAGUGGUUCAUAUCCUACACUUCCUUAUGUUUUUUGUAGCAUUUAGAGACCUAAGCUCAUAACAUGCAGACAUUCAUGUCCUCCACCGCCCUAAGUUGUUCAUAGCAUUUAGAGCCUUGAGCUCAUGACUCAGAGUCGUAGAUGUCAACCAAAGUCCUGAGCUGUUCAUUUCAUUUAGAGCCCUAAGCUAAUGACCUCAAGUCAUUUAUGUCAUUCACAAUCCUAAGCUAUUCAUGAAAUUCAGAGACCUGAGCUCAUGACAUGGAAUCAUUCAUGUGCUCUACCACUCAAAUCUUUUCAUAGAUCUAGACCUAUAAGAUCACAACCAAAAUCGUUCAUGUCAUCCAAAAUCCCGAGUUGUUCAUUUUAAUAGCCUUGAGCUCACGACCUAAAGUCAUUGAUGUCAACCACAACCCUAAGUUGUUCAUAAAAUCUAGAGCCUUAAGGUCACGACCCAGAGUCGUUCAUGUCAUCCACAACCCUGAGCUAUUCAUAGUAACUAGAGCCUUUGGCUUACAACGAAGAAAUGUUCAUAUCAUCCACAACUUUGAGCUAUUCAUAGCUUCUAAAGCCCCAAGCUCAUAGUACCCUGAGUUGUUCAUGUCUUCCAUAACCCUCUACUCUUCAUACCCGUGAUUUUCUACCAAAAAUUGCCAUGAAAAAGUCUUCACAUGCAUCUCAUGCAUCCUCUUGCAGUCGUCUGAAGACAAGUCAGUGUGCUUUGCUUCACUAAAAUUCAACGUGCACCAAGUCUCUAUGUAAAGAUGAGUCGGUUGCAACCCUCCUAAAAUUUCUCCAUUAACGGAUCCCAAGUAUCUCCACCAAAAUCAUACAAAGAUAAAUACAAAAAAUAAAAAUUAGAAAUUAGAUAAUAUUUUAAAAUAAAUAAAUAAAUAAAUAAAAUCUCAAAUGAUGCAAUGAGGGCAAAAAAAAAAAAAAAAGAAUAUCAAUCACAUACGUAGUUAAGUAGAAAAAAGAAUAUUAUUCCAUGUAACUUAAAAGAUUAGAUUCAAAAUCUCAAGCAAUUUCCUAAAAAAUAAAUAAAUGAAUGAAUGAAUAACCUAACAAAAGAAUAAGUAAAUAAAUGAACAAAUAAAUAUCACAUGGGCAAUUAGAAUUUGAAAAUAAAAAUAAAGCAAUAGAAAACAAUGAAAAACGGAUGCAAUCAAGAAUCAAAAUCAAGUCCAAACAAAUGUCCAAAAUGACCUAUUAUGAAAAAAGUGCCUAAGUGACCUAGGGUGAAUGUGUGCAAGCUGGAAGGUGCCUAGGUCAAUCUAAGUGGGCCUAGGUGAACCUAGAUGAGUCUAACCUAAAGUGCAAAUUAAGGUUGCCGAGGGUCACAAUGGGGUUAGAUAAAUCUCUCGAUCAGAGUCUUCGAGGUGGCUCAAAAAAGGUAAGUAUAGUAUGAGUAACAAUGGACCACCAAGGAACUACUAUGGAGCACUAGAAGUGAACUUAAAGACAUGUGCUAAAGGGACAAAAUCAAGGGUCUACAUAUAUGUUUAAUUUACUUUAAACAUUUGAAUAACAUUGUUUUUAUUUAUAAAAAUAAAAUAAAUUUUAAAAAUCAAAUUUCAUUUCUUUUACAACAUACAUUUAUAUUAAAUUAUUUAUAAUUAUUAAUUAAUUUGCUAUUAAAAAUAUAAUAAUAAUAUAUCUUAACAAGGAAAUUUUGAAUUCUUGAAAAAAUGUUUAAAAUAAUUGUUAUAAAUGAAGUGGUGAAUGCCACCACAUCGUUAUAAUAAAUGUUAAUUAAACAUUAUUUAUGACUUCUAUUAAUUCAAUAUUAAUGGAAGCCAUUUAGAAAGUCUAUAGAAAGGUUUCCCAUCCCCUAUGCAAGGAGCAUCCUGAGAAAAGAAGCAGUCUCUCAUUCUCUCUGUUUUUCAUUCUCUCAUCUCUCCUAAUUUUCUUCUCUAAUUUCUUUCUCCCCAUUAUAUAUUGUUAAAGUAAUAUAUAUUUGUCUCUACUUUUAUUUGCAUUUAUUAUGGUUUUGCAACAAUAAUUUUUAUUUUUAUUUUUCUAUUUUAAAUACACAAAACUUGGGUUCACAUUUUGGUUGUUAAGUGGUCUUAACAUUUCUAUGUGUUUUAAAUAUGGUUCCUGCUUUUUAUUUUUAAAAUAGUAAUAACAGUAAUCAUUAGUAUAAUGUACAUAAAAAUAAUACUUGUAAAGAAAGAAAAAAGAAGAAGUAGUUUUUAAGAUAAUAGAAUGGUAUAAUGUAUGACUAUUGAAAUGUUAAUCAAGCUAAAUAUUAACAAAGUUUUAUUUUACCAUUGCAUAUAUUUUUAAAUGAUACAUUUAUAUUAUGUAAUAGAAUUAGAAACAUGAAUAUUUUUACAUUUCAUUGUUUAUCCUAAUUAUGAUAUAAUAUGCUAAAUUUUAACUAUAAAAAGAUGAAAUAAUUUUAAUUAUUUGUAUAUUUUUAAUUUUCAUUAUAUGUAAAUUACAUAUUUAUCAUGUAUGUUCACAUCAUUAUUCUACGUAAUUCAAUCAUUGAUCUAACCAGUGAACUAUUGAUCGAUUUUUAUUUAAUAACUGGUUCGACUUUGAAAAUAUUGUGAGAUACAUCAAGAUGCUUUUUUUAAAUAAAAAAAAUUAUUUAUUAGUUUUAAGAGAAUAUCUAUUAAUGUUUUCAUUUAUGAACAUGAAAUAAUUUUUUUAAAAUCAAAUUUCCUUUGUUUUAUAAUAUGUAUUUUAUUUUAAAAUAUUAUUAAUAAUUAUUGAGUAAUCUGCUAUUAAAAAUAUCACAAUAAUACCUUUAUAUCUUCAUAAGGAAAUGUUGGAUUCAAAAAAUGUUUUAAAACAAUUAUGAUUGGACUUCUUGGUUUCGGUUAAUAUUCCAUGCCUUAAUUACAGUCUUAAUUUGGGAUUGAAUUAGGGUUGUAACUAGAUUGGAAUGCUAACUUUGGCUAUGCCUUUCUAGCUUCAUCAACUGAUCCUGAAGCCUCUGUUAUAUUGGCUUCAGUGGCAUCCACUGCCUUUAUUCUAUAAAUAAAAUAAAAUAAAUUACAACCGGAAAGUUUAAUUUGUAAUGUGAUUUUUAAAAAUUUAAGUCCAAUAUAUAUUAUUUACUCAUAAUAAUAAUAGUUUUAUAUCUUUAGAAUAAAUUAUUAAUUCCUGAAAAGUGUUUUAAAAUAUUUAAUUUUUUUUAAUAAACAAAAUUCACAAUUUUGGUUGUUGAGUGGUCCUAACAUAUUUCUUUUAUUUUUCUUUUAUUGUUUAUAGUAAGUCUCCAAGACCUUCCUUGGUAACACGAACUCUUCACCAACCAACCUCACAGGCUCCGCUCCAUAGAGGCAACUUCACAUCUAUGUGGGAACCAACCAAAAUUGAAAAGAAAAAAAAUCUACGAAUUAUUUAAUUUAGGAAACUUCCACCAACCGACACUCGUUGAACUUGGACACCGUAUGUCAUUUGGAUGAAAUUUUAUUUUAUUUUAUUUUUCUUUCUAUUUAAAAAAUAAAUAUUUUUAAAUUUCAAAAUAAAUAUAUUUUAUUAGUUUUGUUUUACGCUUCUCAUAGUCUCAAAAAGACUAUUGAGAAAUUUAAAAACAGAAAAAAAUAUAUGAAUCCAACCAUUUACAAAUUAAAUUCAAUUUUCGUUAUAAAAUGAGAAAUAAAAAUAAAAGCACAAAUAUAUAUUUCUAGGAAGUAGGGUAUUCAAGUUGAGGUUUGUUCGGAAUGCUGCCAAAUAUUUUAACGCAAGAAAAAUGCUUCAGCCAAAACAAUGGUCAAAUGAGGCAGCGCAAGAGAUUUAUCCCUUUUUAAAAAAUCGCAACUGGAGGGUGGAGGCUGAAGGGCGGAUGUCAUACAAAAUUGACUACUUUCUCAGUAAUCCCCUCCACGUGACUCAAAUCAGCACGGAAGUAUUGAACAAGACCCCACCACCAGCUACAAGUGGGUUGGAAGUGGACACAGCAUUUCUGAUACUUAUAAAUACCCAACGCUCACACACUGCUUUGGCAACCCAUCUUCAAGCACCAGUCCGCAUACUCUUCUCUUUUCUUCUACCGCUUUGAAGCUCUGUGGGGGAUUUUACUAGUCAUCAAUGGCAUCUGUGGAGGACAUUAGAAACGCUCAACGUGCCAAGGGGCCGGCCACCAUUCUAGCCAUUGGCACUGCUACUCCAGACAACUGUGUCUACCAGUCCGAUUACGCUGAUUACUAUUUCCGGGUCACUAAAAGCGAGCACAUGACCGACUUGAAGAAGAAGUUCAACCGCAUAUGUAAGUAUAUAUAUUCAUGCAUCAAUUGGAACAUCCAUUACAUACAUAUAUGUAUAAUUAUCAUAAUGCUUUAAGAUUCCCCUGCAAGAAUUGCCAAGUUUUCUUCAAGCUUCCUGUGUGUUGCUUUUCUGUAAACUAAUUAAAUCUGUGAAAAAUGAGGCGCUAUACAUUGAUUUAAUAUUUCGUAAUAGCGCUGCUCUUUCCAAUCCUAUAUAAAUUAAUUGCCCUGCCUAGGAACACAUAGUUAUUGUAAUAAUAAGUAAUAAUCUAUUUUAUAUUUAUGUUGAUCAUCUUGAGUGAUAAUGAAGCUGCCCAUUAUUACUGAAUGAAUUUUGCUUUGCUAGUCCAUUAGCUAAUAUAUUAAAUUCCUUUAACUUAUAUAUAGGUGAGAAAUCAAUGAUCAAAAAGCGAUACAUUCAUUUGACUGAAGAAAUGCUUGAAGAGCACCCAAACAUGGGUGCUUACAUGGCUCCAUCGCUCAACAUACGCCAAGAAAUUAUCACUGCUGAGGUACCUAAGCUUGGUAAGGAGGCCGCAUUGAAGGCUCUUAAAGAGUGGGGCCAGCCUAAGUCCAAGAUCACUCACCUUGUAUUUUGUACAACUUCGGGAGUAGAAAUGCCGGGUGCAGACUAUAAACUAGCCAAUCUUCUAGGCCUCGAAACAU
rnacentral:lncRNA from 1 species